rnacentral:rRNA from 1 species
GAUGAACGCUGGCGGCGUGCUUAACACAUGCAAGUCGAACGGAAAGGCUCCUGCUUGCAGGGGUACUCGAGUGGCGAACGGGUGAGUAACACGUGGGUGAUCUGCCCUGCACUUCGGGAUAAGCCUGGGAAACUGGGUCUAAUACCGGAUAGGACGAUGGUUUGGAUGCCAUUGUGGAAAGUUUUUUCUGUGUGGGAUGAGCUCGCGGCAUAUCAGCUUGUUGGUGGGGUAAUGGCCUACGAAGGCGUCGACGGGUAGCCGGCCUGAGAGGGUGUACGGCCACAUUGGGACUGAGAGACGGCCCAGACUCCUACGGGAGGCAGCGGUGGGGAAUAUUGCACAAUGGGCGCAAGCCUGAUGCAGCGGCGCCGCGUGGGGGAUGACGGCCUUCGGGUUGUAAACUCCUUUCGCUAGGGACGAAGCGCAAGUGACGGUACCUGGAGAAGAAGCACCGGCUAACUACGUG